rnacentral:rRNA from 1 species
AUCAACGCUGGCGGGGCGCGCCUAACACAUGCAAGUCGAGCGAGAAAGGCGGGGCAACCCGUGAGUAAAGCGGCGUACGGGUGAGUAACACGGUGGAUGAUCUACCCUCUAGUGGGGAAUAACCCUGGGAAACCGGGGCUAAUACCGCAUAAAGCACGAGAGUGGGAAAGCCAGCAAUGCGCUGGAGGAGGAGGUCCGCGGGCCGAUUAGCUAGUUGGCAGGGUAAAAGCCUACCAAGGCAAAAGAUCGGUAGCCCGGCCUGAGAGGGCACACGGCCACACUGGCACUGAAACACGGGCCAGACUCCUACGGGAGGCAGCAGUGGGGAAUCUUGCACAAUGGGGGAAACCCUGAUGCAGCGACGCCCGCGUGAGCGAUGAAGCCCUUCGGGGUGUUUAAAGCUCUUUCGGCAGGGGAAGAUUAUGACGGUACCUGCAGAAGCAGCUGCGGCUAACUACGUGCCAGCAGCCGCGGUAAUACGUAGGCAGGCGGAGCGUUGUUCGGAGGUUACUGGGCGUUAAAGGGUGUGCAGGCGGUUGUUUUAAGUUUGGUGUGAAUGAAAUCUCCCGGCUCAACUGGGAGGGUGCGCCGAAUACUGAAUGACUAGAGUGUGGGAGAGGUGAGUGGAAUUCCUGGUGUUAGCGGGUGAAGGUGAAAAUGCGUAGAUAUCAGGAGGAACACCGGUUGGUGUAGACGGCUCACUGGACCAUAACUGACGCUGAGACACGAAAGCGUGGGUAGCAAACAGGAUUAGAUACCCUGGUAGUCCACGCCCUAAACGAUGCAUAUUUGGUGUGGGCAGUUUCAUUCUGUUCCCGUGCCGGAGCUAACGCGUUAAAUAUGGCCGCCUGGGGAGUACAGUCGCAAGGCUGAAACUCAAAGGAAUUGACGGGGGCCCCGCACAAGCGGUGGAGCAUGUGGUUCAAUUUCGAUGCAACGCGAAGAACCUUACCUGGGCUCGAACGGCUGAUCAACGCGGUGGGAAACAUCGCUACCCCGCAAGGGGGGCUCAGUCGAGGUGCUGCAUGGCUGUCGUCAGCUCGUGUCGUGAGAUGUUGGGUUAUUAAGUCCCGCAACGGAGCGCAACCCUUGUCCUGUGUUGCCAUCAUUCAGUUGGGAACUCGCAGGAGACCGCCAGGGAUAACCUGGAGGGAAGGUGGGGAUGACGUCAAGUCCUCAUGGCCUUUUAUGUCCAGGGCUACACACGUGCUACAAUGGACGGUACAAAGCGCAGCGAACCCCGCGAGGGGGGAGCCAAUCGCAAAAAAACCGUUCUCGGUUCGGAUUGCAGGCUGCAACUCGCCUGCGUGAAGCUGGAAUCGCUAGUAAUGGCGUAUCAGAAUGAUGCCGUGAAUACGUUCCCGGGGCCUUGUACACACCGCCCGUCACAUCACGAAAGUGGAUUGUACUAGAAGUCCCAAUCAAACGGGCCCAAGGUAUGAUUCAUGAUUGGGGUGAAGUCGUAACAAGGUAA